rnacentral:rRNA from 1 species
AGAGUUUGAUCCUGGCUCAGAUUGAACGCUGGCGGCAUGCUUUACACAUGCAAGUCGAGCGGCAGCGCGGGGCAACCUGGCGGCGAGCGGCGAACGGGUGAGUAAUAGAUAGGAACGUAUCCGGGAGUGGGGGAUAACUAGCCGAAAGGUUAGCUAAUACCGCAUAUUCUCUACGGAGGAAAGCGGGGGACUCCUAAACCGAGCACACGGGGGUGUGUGUUGGGUUUAGGGGCCUCGCGCUCGCGGAGUGGCCUAUCUCCGAUUAGCUAGUUGGUGAGGUAAAGGCUCACCAAGGCGACGAUCGGUAGCUGGUCUGAGAGGAUGAUCAGCCACACUGGGACUGAGACACGGCCCAGACUCCUACGGGAGGCAGCAGUGGGGAAUUUUGGACAAUGGGGGCAACCCUGAUCCAGCCAUGCCGCGUGCGGGAAGAAGGCCUUCGGGUUGUAAACCGCUUUUAUUCGGGAAGAAGGAGUAGGGGCUAAUACCCUCUAUGACGGACGGUACUGGAUGAAUAAGCACCGGCUAACUACGUGCCAGCAGCCGCGGUAAUACGUAGGGUGCGAGCGUUAAUCGGAAUUACUGGGCGUAAAGCGUGCGUAGGCGGUUCUAAAAGUCAGCUGUGAAAGCCCCGGGCUUAACCUGGGAAUGGCGGUUGAAACUCUAGGACUAGAAUCUGGCAGAGGGGGGUGGAAUUCCACGUGUAGCAGUGAAAUGCGUAGAGAUGUGGAGGAACACCGAUGGCGAAGGCAGCCCCCUGGGCUGAGAUUGACGCUGAGGCGCGAAAGCGUGGGGAGCAA